rnacentral:lncRNA from 1 species
AGGGGCUGGAGCAGAGGUACCUGCUGGUGCCCGAGGCGCUCAAGGACGCCCACCUGGUGCACCUGGUGCAGAGCUUCCAGGACCAGCACGAGGACUGGGCCAUCAUCAUCUUCACCAAGACCUGCAAGGACUGCCAGGUGCUGAACAUGAUGCUGAGGAAGUUCAGCUUCCCCUCGGUGGCUCUGCACUCCAUGAUGAAGCAGAAACAGAGAUUUGCAGCUUUGGCCAAGUUCAAGUCCAGCAUCUUCAAAAUCCUCAUUGCCACCGACGUGGCUGCCAGGUAAAGCAAAGCUCUCCCAGCUGGGAUUGUCCUCCAGAGCCAGCUUAGGCUGAGCU